AAGAUCAUACUUCACAGGAUCAUUUCUGUAGUAGGUCUUCCCAUGCUCUCUACUCAAAUGUAGAGUUGUCGGGAUGCCCGACUCGGGCA